rfam:Triticum aestivum genome assembly, contig: Triticum_aestivum_CS42_TGACv1_scaffold_322115_4BL
UAUAUACUCCCUCCGUUCCAAAAUACUUGACUUCCAUUUGUUCAAAAAUGAAUGUACCUAUAUACUAUAGUAUGUCUAGAUACGUCUAUAUUUUGACAAAUGGAAGGCAUGUAUUGUGGAAUGGAGGGAGUACAUU